GUCGAGCGAUCACAUGGUAGCUUGCUCCCUGAUGUUAGCGGCGGACGGGUGAGAACAGGUGGGUAACCUGCCUGUAAGACUGGGAAACUCCCCUUAAACCGGGGCUAAUGCCGGAGGGUUGUUUGAAUAGCAUGGUUCAGACAUAAAAGGUGGCUUCGGCUACCACUUACAGAUGGACCCGCGGCGCAUUAGCUAGUUGGUGAGGUAACGGCUCACCAAGGCAACGAUGCGUAGCCGACCUGAGAGGGUGAUCGGCCACACUGGGACUGAGACACGGCCCAGACUCCUACGGGAGGCAGCAGUAGGGAAUCUUACGCAAUGGACGAAAGUCUGACGGAGCAACGCCGCGUGAGUGAUGAAGGUUUUCGGAUCGUAAAGCUCUGUUGUUAGGGAAGAACAAGUGCCGUUCAAAUAGGGCGGCACCUUGACGGUACCUAACCAGAAAGCCACGGCUAACUACGUGCCAGCAGCCGCGGUAAUACGUAGGUGGCAAGCGUUGUCCGGAAUUAUUGGGCGUAAAGGGCUCGCAGGCGGUUUCUUAAGUCUGAUGUGAAAGCCCCCGGCUCAACCGGGGAGGGUCAUUGGAAACUGGGGAACUUGAGUGCAGAAGAGGAGAGUGGAAUUCCACGUGUAGCGGUGAAAUGCGUAGAGAUGUGGAGGAACACCAGUGGCGAAGGCGACUCUCUGGUCUGUAACUGACGCUGAGGAGCGAAAG
rnacentral:rRNA from 1 species